UCUUUAUUCUCUCUCUCUCUCUCUCGCUAUAUUUAGCUUCUCCACAUUGCGUGCUCACUCCACUCAAUUUUAGAUUUUUACGUGUCUGGUGCCUGAACUUGUUCUUCAUUGUGCCCUUUCUCUGAGAUUGCAUAUAGGUUUUGAGUGCUGGAACUUUUAAAAUGGGGAUAUAUUCAAUGCCCUUUGUGGGUGUUCUGCUACUUUUCUGUCUGGUUUCAUCUUCAGAGGCAGAAUAUUUGAAGUAUAAAGACCCUAAGGUGCCACCGAAUGUCAGAAUCAGUGACUUGUUGAAGAGGAUGUCUCUGGAAGAGAAGAUAGGUCAAAUGACACAAAUUGAAAGGAGUGUUGCUACUCCUGAUGUGAUGAAGAAGUACUUCAUUGGGAGUGUGCUCAGUGGGGGAGGGAGUGUUCCGGCGACAAAGGCAUCUGCUGAGACCUGGCAGCAAAUGGUGAAUCAGCUGCAAAAGGCAGCAUUGUCUACUUGCCACGGGAUUCCGAUGAUUUAUGGUAUAGAUGCAGUUCAUGGACACAACAAUGUCUAUAACCAUUUUUCCUCACAAUGUUGGGCUAGGAGUUACCAGGGAUCCUGUGCUCAUAAAGAAGAUUGGAGAAGCAACUGCCCUUGAAGUUAGAGCUACUGGAAUUCCAUAUGUCUUUGCUCCGUGUAUUGCGGUCUGCAGAGAUCCAAGAUGGGGACGUUGCUAUGAAAGCUACAGUGAGGACCCUAAGAUUGUUAAAACUAUGACGGAAAUUAUACCUGGCUUGCAAGGAGAUAUCCCUGGCAAUUCCAUUAAGGGAGUUCCCUUUGUUGCUGGAAAGAACAAGGUUGCAGCCUGUGUCAAGCACUACUUGGGAGAUGGUGGCACAAACAAGGGUAUCAAUGAGAACAACACUCUGAUCAGUUACAAUGGAUUGCUUAGCAUUCACAUGCCAGCAUACUAUGACUCUAUCAUCAAGGGUGUUUCAACUGUAAUGGUCUCGUACUCUAGCUGGAAUGGGAUGAAAAUGCAUGCAAACAGAAAACUUAUCACUGGUUACCUCAAGAACAAAUUGCAUUUCAAGGGUCUUGUCAUAUCAGAUUGGCAAGGUAUUGACCGGAUUACCUCUCCUCCUCAUGCUAACUAUUCAUACUCUGUUCAAGCUAGUGUCAGUGCUGGAAUUGAUAUGAUUAUGGUUCCCUACAACUACACCGAGUUCAUUGAUGAACUAACCCAUCAAGUAAAGAACAACAUUAUCUCAAUGAGCAGGAUUGAUGAUGCCGUGGCAAGAAUCUUAAGAGUAAAAUUUGUCAUGGGCUUAUUUGAAAAUCCAUAUGCUGAUCCAAGCCUGGUGAACCAACUGGGUAGCAAGGAACAUAGAGAGAUAGCAAGGGAAGCUGUACGUAAAUCUCUGGUCUUGCUAAAGAAUGGUAAAUCUUACAAGAAACCACUUCUUCCUCUUCCCAAAAAGUCCGCAAAAAUACUGGUAGCAGGAAGUCAUGCUAACAAUUUGGGUUAUCAAUGUGGAGGAUGGACAAUUACCUGGCAGGGACUUGGUGGCAAUGAUCUCACUUCAAGUACAACCAUCCUUGAUGCUGUGAAACAAACCGUUGAUCCUACCACUGAAGUUGUCUUCAAUGAAAAUCCAGAUAGGAACUUUGUCAAGUCGUUCAAAUUUGACUAUGCCCUUGUUGUUGUCGGAGAACACACUUAUGCUGAAACAUUCGGUGACAGUUUGAAUCUGACUAUAGCUGAUCCAGGUCCAAGUACCAUCACCAAUGUGUGUGGGGCUAUUCGAUGCAUAGUUGUUCUCGUCACUGGCCGCCCAGUUGUGAUUAAGCCAUAUCUAUCAAAAAUAGAUGCCCUUGUAGCUGCAUGGCUUCCCGGCACUGAAGGUCAAGGUGUUGCUGAUGUUCUCUACGGUGACUAUGAAUUCACUGGCAAGCUGGCAAGAACAUGGUUCAAGACAGUUGACCAGCUCCCAAUGAAUAUUGGUGAUAAACAUUAUGAUCCUCUAUAUUCAUUUGGUUUUGGGUUGACAACAAACAUCACUAAAUAUUGAAAGUGAAACCUUGUGUAACAUGUCCAAGAGCACUACUCUUUUUCCACUUGGAGCCUUGAUUGUCUAUUGACGAGUGACUUGUUAAUUUAUGCUUACCUACGGACAACUAGCAUCAGAACCUUUUCAAAAUAUGAAUUCAUUCUCCUUAACUAGUGCAGAUUCAUCAUUUUGAUUACUAUUGUUAACAUUGAUUGGUUCUUGCAAA